AUUGAACGCUGGCGGCAGGCCUAACACAUGCAAGUCGAGCGGAUGAAGGGAGCUUGCUCCUGGAUUCAGCGGCGGACGGGUGAGUAAUGCCCAGGAAUCUGCCCUGCAGUGGGGGAUAACGUCCGGAAACGGGCGCUAAUACCGCAUCCGACCUGAGGGAGAAAGUGGGGGAUCUUUGGACCUCACGCUAUCUGCUGACCCUAGGUCGGAUUAGCUAGUUGGUGGGGUAAAGGCCUACCAAGGCGACGAUCCGUAACUGGUCUGAGAGGAUGAUCAGUCACACUGGAACUGAGACACGGUCCAGACUCCUACGGGAGGCAGCAGUGGGGAAUAUUGGACAAAGGGCGAAAGCCUGACCCAGCCAUGCCGCGUGUGUGAAGAAGGUCUUCGGAUUGUAAAGCUCUUUAAGUUGGGAGGAAGAGCAGUAAGUUAAUACAUUGCUGUUUUGACGUUACCAACAGAGUAAGCACCGGCUAACUUCGUG
rnacentral:rRNA from 1 species